CGUGGGAGCACCUCCUUAGUAAUUUUACUGCUUGCCCGCUUUCCUAGUGUGAGGGAAGCAGCAUCGGGUCUGUGUUGGUGAGGGUCCCUGUGCUGUGGCCGCCUAUGGCCUUGGGUUCUGGAGGUGCUCUGAGACCAUUUCUUCAGGGUUGUUUCCUCCCACCCUCAGUGGAGUGCUCAUCAGUGGGGAGGAUCAUUAAUUAGGGCCAAAGCCUACAUCCCCACCUCCUACUGGCUGUCCUCUUCCAUCCACUUCAGCUGUGCACCCCUUCUCCUUCCUGCCCCAGGACGCUGGGAGAGGCCAGUGCUGCCUCCAGCUCCCACACCUUGUCUGGCCCUUCAGCGUCCCUCGGGAUAAAGGCCCGACUCUCCCAGAGCUCCUGUGACCUGUUCUGAUGGAAGCGUUGCCUGGGCUCUGCUGCAGUAUGUGAGUGGUUUGCCUGGACUCGCCCCCCCCCCCAUUUAUAAGUCUCCUUUCGCCCGGCUCACGGUGCCCCUCAUCCUGGCUGGGAGCACCCAGCAAAGGCAGGUGCUUGUGCACUCUUCGGCCAGGCUGUGAUUAAUCCAUGAGCAGAGGUGCCUUCUGUGCUGGCAGAUACCCCUGCUCCCCCCCCCCCCCGCGUCCAGUGGGCUGGGGGAGGUCACAUUGGGCACUCUGUGGCCCACAGGCUUCCUAGUAACCGGAGAGCUCCGUGGCAAGACUAGCCAGGCAUCAGCUAUAAUUAGGAACCAUCUGAUUGAAUGAGAGACAGCAGAAAGCAGACGGCGAACCCCCAUGGCCGGCACUGGUGAAUUCUGGGGGAAAGGAGAAGGGGGGCAGCUUAGUGGCUAGAAGGGUGACCCAAAAUGAAGACGUCGGUGACACCAGGAGGGAGCAAUGGGCCUCCCCGUGCUGGCCAGCUUUCUACCUGGCAGAGCAGCGAGCGAGGGUAGGCGAGAGCACUCAGACAGCUGCUAGGGGGCCUGCAGGCAAUAACAAGGAGGCUGAAAUCAGGGGAAGGAAGGGCUGCCGCUGCUCCGAGCAGAGGGAAUGAUUGGGAAGGGAGGCCUGGCCGGAGCCUCCCUGGGGACCCUCCCUGCCCAAAGCUCCCAAAGCCCAGCGCGCAGAGAUGUCCAGCAGCACGGAUUGCCUGAGCCACUGUCUGCAGCCUUGCCGUCUCCUUCCAAGCCCAGGGAGCUCCAGGGAUGGGUGAGAGAGGCUCAUUCCCUUACUCAUCCGGUUCGGCACAGCCCUUUCUCCCGAGCGCUUUCUUUGGAGCUCCAGCUGGCCUGGCCUGGAGAGAGCCUUCUGGAAGGAGCCUCUUCAGUCUGGGCCCAGCUCACAGUCUCUGGAAUCUGCCAUCAACGAUUCCUUUGCGAACUUCCCGACGCCUCUGGCCGCAGGAGUGGCCCCAACCAGCACAUGAUUCCCAGGAGUCUGAGGAGCCCGGAGGUGCCACUGUGGCUCGUGGACUGGACUUGGUGUUAGCCCAGCCCUGAGUUCAAAUCUUCCCUCGGACCUGUAGCAAUCUGGGGGCGCUAGCCAAGUCCCCACUUCACCUCCCUUUCCUCCCUCCUAAAAUGAAGCUGGUGAUAGCCCUGAGCUCCCAGCGUUUUGGUGAGCAGGAGCAAGGGUGACCACAUGCGAGCGUCCCUAAAGUUUUAGUGCAGAUUGAAGUGAACUGAGCUAUGCUUGUAUGUAUAUGGAGCAGUUGUUCAGGAGGGAGGGGGCUUGUUCCGGGCUGCUCACCCACUUUGGGGUCCGCCUUUCACCCAGCUCUCACCGGGGCUCCAGCAGCCACAUUCUGGGGGCCUCAAGCCUCCUGGUGAGGGGAGGAGCUUCCCCACCCGAGUGGGGAAGGGGCAGAUGAAAACAGUCCUCCACUGGCCCUGAAGGUUGCUGAAGCAGACUCGGAAGAGUGCCUGGAGCUCAGUCACACACUGCAUGCGGGGCCAUCUCGGCCUCCUGGCUUUUGCCUCCCUGCUGGACUUGGACGGCUCUGGAAGAGAGAGGGAGGCUGGAAGCUGUGGGCUCCUGGGCCUGCCUUCAGUACCGAUCCAUGGCCAAGUCAAGGCAUCACCCCAUCGCCUCAGUGGUCCUCUUUGUAAACGAAGGAUGAGCAAUGACACACCCACGUUUGUCGCUCUGGAGGUCACUCCUCAAACCCUUAGAAGGACCAAUUAUCUAAUCAACUCUGCCGUCCUUGCUGACAGGGGUGUGCCAAUGGCAUCCCCUCCCUGGCCACCGCUUCUCGUGGGGUUUAGUCCUAUUAGAAUGCAAGGCCUUGGGGGGCAGCGGGGGGGGGGGGCUCAAUGGAUUGAGUCAGACCUAGAGAUGGGAGAUCUUGGAUUCAAAUCUGACCACAGAUACUUCCUACUGUGGGACCCUGGACAAGGCUCUUAACUCCAUUUCCGAGCUCUUACUACUACGCGGCUCUCUUCGAACCGACACACCGUAUUGCUUCUAGAGCAGGGAAGGGUACAGGGAAAAGUGCGGUCUCUGAAGGCGAGGCUUCCCUUGGCCUGUGCGUCGGCGCCCUUGGGGCUGGGACAUGGCAAGCGCUUGCAGUAUGAUAUGGCUGACUUUGCCCUCGUUCUCUGGUUCCUUCAGCUCUUCCCUACUGCCUCGGGGGCCUGCUGGCAGGACUCAGUGGCAAAGGCAAAGACUCACUAAUUCCGGUUCUGUUUUCCAAGGAGGAAGAUCUAUCUCAAAGUGGGCUCCCUGAAACAUGGCCGGGAGGGCAGCUCAAGGCAUGGGAGACAAAACCACCUCUUGGGCCCGCCCGCCCCUCUCUCUGGGGCAGCAGCUAGGUCCUUUGCAGGCUCCAGCCAGGAGUGACUGGCCGCAGCUUGGGUGGCUCCUGGGCUCUGGGGCCAGGCUAGGUCCGGAUCACCCCGGGAGCCUUGGGCUCCUGGUUUUGUCACGUGGUCCACCUCUUCGGGGCAACUGAGAGAGCCACGUAUUGGAAGUUUGCUUUGAGGCUGUCCUGCUUUUCCACCCUCUAGAUUCCGUGGCCUGCUCACUCUCUAAGACCCAGAGUCCACCCACCCCUCGGGACAAAGCCCCAGAGAGAAAGAAGGCAGAACUCCUGGGCUAUGUGCUUGUGGGCACUUGGGUAGUUUUGAUUGUCUAGCUGGAAAUCCCUUUAUUAUGGUGCCCCCCAAACAUGUGAGGACAGCCUGAGGGGCGCACUGCUACGGCCCAUCCCCCCUGGCACCCAGCUGAGCACCCCACAUGCCACUGUGGCAGGGCUGAAGGGAGAGCACCUGGCGUUCCUUCCCUCUGGUUUCAAGCUCUGUCACUUCUUAACCGUCAGGGGGGGUAUAUCUGCUUCGGAAUGAGCUCACCAGCCUCUAUUAAGGACUAAAUGUCCUCCCUCAGCCGUGUUUCCAGCAAGACAGAGGACAGGCUGAAGUGCCAACUGGUGGCACCUUGCACAUUUUCAAGCUUGUGGGCACUGCAGGGCUCCUCAGGGCACCAAGCUUGCUAAGCUUCUGGGCUCUUGUUCAGAAGCUGUUCUCGACAGUCCUCACGUGGGCUGGCCCAGCCAACCUCCCCACAGCAGGAAAUGCCCUCCAAGAGCUGCCACUCAGCUUGGUUAGACCUAUCCAAGCAGGUAGCGCUCUGCCAGGGGCCCAGAGCAAUGGCCCUAGUGGGGUCUGGGUAGGGAAGCUGUGGAAGGAUGUGGGCCCGUGGCCACCCGAGGGAGGGCAGUGGCAACUCCGAAAGAAGAGUUGGAAGGGAAACAAGACUAGCAGCAACUAGAAAGUUUUCUAGCAGACUCCCUCCCAUGCUGAUUCUGUGCUCAGCCAAAGUAACUGCCAGACCCAUUUUAGAACAUCAAAAAGAAAUGUUACAUCACAUUGGCAUCUGAGCAUGGAGAAAUGUCACGAUCGAAAACAAGGAGGACUUGAGAGCUUUGCAGCCAAAUGUUAGGGUGGCACAGAGCCCUGCCAGGCAGCCAUCUCUGCCUCCCCCAGACUCUUUCCUAGGCUGGGAACAACCCAAGAAGACCAUCCCCGCCCCCAUCCCCGGGGGCUUUCCAAGUGUGAAAGCAAAGUCAUGGAGGGAAGCCCAGGACAUUCACCUGAGAGCUUUUAUUCCAUGGGGACACUGCAUGGAGGAAUUCCCUCCCCCAAAUGCACAUUGGCUAGAUGGGACAUGGUGGGGUCAUCUGGGUCUGAGAACAAGGGGCAGAAGGAAGGCCAGGCAGCAGGUUCCCCCAACCUCUGCUAAAGCUGCAGCAUGGAGGCUGACCAAAGAGUCCUCAGUUUUUCUCAGGAAGGAAAAUAUCUUGAACCAAUGGCUUUCCUCAUCUGUAAAAUGAGCUAGAGAAGAAAAUGGCCAGCCACUCUAGGAUCUCUGCCAAGAAAACCCCAGUGGGUCAUGUAGAGGUAGGCAUGGCUGAAACAACUGAACAACAAACCUGGUGAAAAAUACUCUCCACCUCCAGAGAGAGAACUAACUGGUAGACCCUUGGUGUAGUUUGAAACAGACUCUUGACAUCCCCAUCAUGUCCCUUCCAGUCUUCACUCCUAGGUUGCUCUGCUGAAAAAAUGGACAUGCACUGGGGGAAACAAGUGAAAACUCCAGGACUGCAAGCUGAAGGAGUUACAAAUUAAUUCUAUGUGACUAAAGAGCAGGCAAAUGAGUUGAGGAUCGGGUGCAGCAACAUUGAGAGGAAUGCAUAAAUUGAGUGAAAAUGGAACCUUCUGCUCAGGCAUCAUUCUCCAUCUGCUGGUCUGUCCCCCCAUUGACAAUUGAUUCUUUUGGAUCUGAAAGAUGUUUGCGUUUUAGAGUCCUUGGUUGGUUGUCCUUCAUACAUGUAGGGGACCCAAAUUACAUCACUCUGUUGGAGUCAAAUGCAUCGCGUGUGCAACUGUGGCUGAUGAGACCAACAUGGGCUCAGAAGACUCUACCGCAGUUCAUAGAUGUGUGAACAUUCGAGAUGGAGACACUCUAAAUGUGCUGAUCUCACAUUUCUUUUGAGCUACUGCAAUUCUAAGUCCUCAAUCAAAAUGCAAACACCCCAGAUCCCAACAGAAAUCCCACUUUCUCAAGGAAGACUUCCCCAACCCCUUUUGAUUCUAGUGGUUUCCCUCUCUUAAUCAUUUCCUGGUUAUCCUGCAUACAGUGUGUUUGCAUGUAUCUAUGAGCUCUUUGAGAGCAGAGACUAUCUACUGCUUCUUCUACAUCUGCAGUGCAGUACCUGCUGCACAGUAGGUGUUCUUUUUUUUUGUUUGUUUGUUUUAAACCCUUACCUUCCAUCUUGGAGUCAAUACUAUGCAUUGAAGAGUGGUCAGGGCUAGGCAAUGGGGGUUAAGUGACUUGCCCAGGGUCACACAGCUGGGAAGUGUCUGAGGCCAGAUUUGAACCUAGGACCUCCCGGCUCUAGGUCUGGCUCUCAAUCCACUGAGCCACCCAGCUUCCCCCACGCACAGUAGGUGUUUUAAAAAUACUGAUGAACUUCCAAGAAGCAAGUAGCAGAGUUAGAAAUCCAGCUCAGCUCCUCUUGCUCCAAACCCAGAACUCUUUCCAUUCUCUGAUGCUGUUUCCAUCAUGGAGCAGAUGUGAUCUCAGCCUUUGAUGUGGUCUGCGUACAGAGCCCAUCCGAUCCUGGAAGACCAGUGAGAGCAUUUUGAGCUCUUGGAUGAAACAGCAUUCUAGACACUAAUUGCCAACGUGCCAAGAGGUAUUUUGGGGAAGCCUCAGGAUGGAUGCCCUCCUAUCUUGUGGGCAAUCAAAUGGAGCAGGAACUCAUCUCCCUGGACAGAAAACAUUUGGUGUUCUUGGUGUGGGUCUGCGAAGGAUCAGAUGGAUGAGGGGAAGAUUCAUGCCGGGCACAUUGAUGUUUGCUUUUUCAUUUCUUUGUAUUUCAUUCAUGUCUAUUAUGAGACUAAAACAUUCUACAACGUCUUUGAGAUAAAAAUCAGUCCUUGAAGGACACAGAAUUACCCUGAGUGAAGGAAAUGCUUUUCCUGGCAACAUGGCGUCUGAACCCAGAUUGGAAUGGAGAAUCCACAUUUACCACCCUAGAUCUAACCAUGCUCAUCUUAAAGUGGUGAGGCUGAGCAGAGAGAGAGUCAGCUUUCCGAGAGUCCCAGAGAGCUCCGCAUUUGCCUCAGAGUGCCCCCUGGUGUUGAAGGCUGGACUUAGUGCAUGUUCAUUGACCAGACCUUGACCUUCCUUACCUGAAAAGAUUGCCAUUGUCCCUUGACUAUCCCAGAAGGAAGACAGCUUGGGCUAUAGUGAGAGGUGGCGGAUUUUCCCCUGUCGAGGUUUCACAGUGAAGCCCCCACGGUGUGUUGUCAGACAGUUGUGGAGGAGUCGGUGUUGCCUCUGAGCCCCCUUCCACCUCCAUGAUGAUGCUGUGGUUCCGAGGUUUGGGUUGAAGGGGUGGUUGUGGUUACCAUCUCAACUGGUUUCCCCUUUCAGAAAAGACUCUUUCCACACAAACAGUGGCCCGAGCAGCUCGGGGGCUCUUGCCAAUGCAUCUCAGGGCUCCUGGGAUGCUCAUGAAGGCAGGGCCAGCUGCUCCUGUCCUCUCCCUUCUGGCACCUCCAGAUGCGUUUGUAUCUAGAUAAUGCCAUGACUCCUCUUGGCGCACCACACGCACUUGUUACUGAACGGAGUUGGAAGUAUGGUUCAGUAGAAACUCUGAUGCUUAGAAAAAUAAAAUGCCCGACGCUGCCGAACUGGAUUUUGAUACUUGUGUGUCUCUCGAACGUUUCAUUUCACUGUGACAACAUCCAGUUGCUUUGGGGCUAGAGGGGCACUAAAAGGACAGGGAAGCGGAAUAUGAGAGUCCUCCGCUUAAAUCCAGAUAGUUACUGACGUGUUAAAGGAGGAAAGGAAGUCGGGAAGCUUCUCUUUGCUCACUGCUUCCCAGGGUUUCCCCACAUGCCUAUUCAGACAAAAUAGAAUCUCUUCUAAAGACCGUUCCAGAGGCCGGCGUAUUUACUCCUUGAUGACUAACGUUGCUGAUGAGCUCAUGGAAUCUAUUGGUAGUGGUCAGCCCUUCUGCAAAAGCCAAAGGCUUCUUUGCCUCAUCAAGUGUUUGUCGGGCCGGCCCAAAGGACAAUGGGAAUUUAGGAGCAGAAAGACAGGCAUCCGCAGCACACCGUGGAAGGGGCUGGUCAGACCCUCCUUCAAAGAUGGUGCCCAGGGCUGGGAAGCCCAGGCUACAUGGAAGGCAAGCCAACACGCACCAACAACUGCAUGGCUUUCUUUGGAUUCCAUCCGUGGGCGGACUCCAAGGAGUACGCUAGUUGGCUCGAAUUUCCCUUUUUCCAUCAGAGAUAGAUCGUGAAGCGGGCAGAUGGGGAGAUCCGGAAGCAGACCCGGGAUUCCAGCGCUGCCACUUGCUUCCUGGCUGCCACAGGCUGGUCAUGACCUACGGGGGCUUCUGUUUUGCAUGUAGAAUGAGGGCCCCGCUAUAGGAGGCCCUUUGGGCCACUUCUAGGAGUUGCGCUCUGAGCCUAGGAGAUUCCUAUCCGGUUGCUCUGUGGCUGAUCUUAGCUGUCCCUGCCCUCAGGCACCCAUCGGAGACAUCUAACUCUGAACUUGGUCUUCCUCACUCCUCUGAAGUUCCAGGAGCUGCCCUCCCUCAUUCCCGUUCCCCUGACAGCUUCCCAUGAGCACCCCUGACUGAGCCGUCUGCCCAGCGGGUCUGUGCCCAUUCUAG